rnacentral:rRNA from 1 species
GACGAACGCUGGCGGCGUGCUUAACACAUGCAAGUCGAACGGAAAGGCCCUGCUUUUGUGGGGUGCUCGAGUGGCGAACGGGUGAGUAACACGUGAGUAACCUGCCCUUGACUUUGGGAUAACUUCAGGAAACUGGGGCUAAUACCGGAUAGGAGCUCCUGCUGCAUGGUGGGGGUUGGAAAGUUUCGGCGGUUGGGGAUGGACUCGCGGCUUAUCAGCUUGUUGGUGGGGUAGUGGCUUACCAAGGCUUUGACGGGUAGCCGGCCUGAGAGGGUGACCGGAGGCAGUGGGGGAGAGAGAAGGGGGGGAGGGAGACGGGCGCGACAAGGGGGGAUGAGGGAAGACGGGCGGGAGGGAGUAGGCAGCCUCUGAGUGUGCGGGAUGAAGGGAGUAGGGGUGGAAACAGGUUUCGACUGAGACGAAGAGGGAGUGGAGGUAAGGGGUAAAGAGGCAACGGCUAAAUCGGUG